AAUUCCACAGAUUCUGGAAGGUGUCCAGGAACUCGUUGAUUUGUCAAACUUAUGGCUACACACAGCUGGAAUGGAGACGGACUCCACUGAGGAGACUCAUACAGGACAGGAGGGAAUUUUAAGAGGAUAACCCUGACCCACAGAGCCAGUGUGUGCGGCUGAGGUGCUCAGACUGGCAGGUGAAAUGACUUCAUUAGUGCCCUGGCUCCUGGUGGGAUGAGAGUGGAAACCCAGCCUUCUGAGUUGAAGAACUGGAACAAACAUCAGCCCUGACACAUUGAUGUCAGUUUACCUUUGUGAGAAACAGGAACGAAAUGUGAACAUCUAUUUCAGGGGGAAGAAAAUAGGGCUGUUUUGAGGAGAUGUGGCUGAGAAAACAGAAAAAGAGAAUUACAGGCCUGAAAUCCCAGCACUCUGGGAGGCUGAGGUAAGAGGAACGCUUGAUUCCAGGGAUCUGAGACCAGCCUGGGCAACAUGACGAAACCCUGUCUCUAUUUAAAAAACGACAUUUAGCGGGCUGUGGUGGUGUGCAUCAGUGGUCCUAACUACUCAGGAGGCUAAGUUGGGAGGACUGCCUGAGCGUGGGCGGCCGAAGCUGCAAUGAGCCAUGAUUGUGCCUCUGCUCCAGCCUGGGUGACAGAACAAGACUCUUCCUAAAAGAAAAAAAAAAAAAAAGGAACGACGAAUCAGGCCAGGCACAGUGGCUCAAGCCUG
rnacentral:lncRNA from 10 species